CCAUUUGGGACCCAAUUUCAACAAGUCUUUCUCAACACAUCUAAACACUCUUCAUGCAUCUUUAGUACUUGUAAUCUAUCAAAUUUAUUGUAUUGUAACAUAUUCUAACCCCAAACAACACUAGAUAAGUCAUUUAGUGGUUCAACGCAAUGUGUCCAAGUUCUUAGCAAAUUUGGGACCCAAUUUCAACAAGUCUUUCUCAACACAUCUAAACACUUUUCAUGCAUCUUUAGCACUUGUUAUAAAUCAAAUUUAUUGUAUUCUAACAUAUUCUAACCCCAAACAACACUAGAUAAAUCAUUUAGUGGUUCCACUACAAGAAAACAAGCAUUUUGUGACCCCCCAAAAGCGUCCUAAAAGGGUCGCAAAACAGCUAUUUGCGACUAUUGCGAGACGAUCUAUGUUGGUCGCUAAAAAACGGUCGCUAAAUUUAAUGGUCACAAUAACGUCAAAUAUUUGCGACUCUUUGGAGACUGGUAUAUAUGGUCUUAUAUAAGCGACGGUUUAAAGACGGAUAUUAAUAGUCGUAUAUUUACGACGAAGUUGUGACCCCUAUUAAUAAGCAACUACUUUGUGACAAACCUGAUAUUUAUAUAAUAGGGACUGAUAUGGGACUAGUUGCUGAGUCGUAGAUUUGAGAUGGUUUUCAGACUUGUAAGUAGUCGCAAAUUAGCAACCCCUUAGUGACGCUUUAGGAGUUUUUGAAAAUUAAUUAGACGCUAAUCUACUACCAUAUAUACCCUGUCUCAAAUUUUUCUUUUGUUGUGAUUCCAAAAGCUAAAAAGAAAUGUUGAAAUUAUAUAAAUUUGAUGAACCAAAAUGUUGCUAAUCAAACCCCUAAUGUUGUUAAUCAAAGCCUUACACAGUAUUAAACAUUCGAAAGAUCUAACAUGUUCAUAAGAGAAGGCAAAAAGUUCUUAGGGUGAUGGAGAAGGUGCUGAAGUAGCAAGUAUGGUUCCUUGUGGUUGUGCGGUGGCUAGGAGAUUUCCUAGUUUUGCGAUUUGUACAUGGCGGAGAGCUCCUCCCCUUUCUCAUGUUAUAUUUCCAGAUGCCCUUAGUAGAAUUGAAUAAUCCACCACAACCCUAAAAAGAUGAAACAAACAAUCAGCAAAAAAAUUUACAUGGAGAAUCAUCACCUAAGGAGGUUUAGGUAGACAUCGGGUGGAUUUGAAUUUCAAACUCUUCCUAAGCAUCUUAAGCUCAGCUUCUUGGCAUGUAUAGUUGUCCUUUCCUCUUCUUUCACAUGAAUCUUUUUAUUAUGCUUUGAAUAGAACUGCACAAGAAGAUAAAAACAAAUGCUUUUCAAUGACAAUACCACUGUUUUUGUCCCGAAAUUUUUGCGGUAGCUUUCUCUUAUAUAUAACCCACCAUGUGUCUAUCUAACGCUUUUAAUAGACAAGCUAAUUUAGCUUCAAAUUUCCUGAAAUUGCAGUGUAAUCGACUAAAUGAUCUGACCUAAUCAGUUUGGUAGUUGCUUCAAGCUGUAAAAUUAAAAAAAGAAAAGAAAACAGUAGGUUUCAGAAACAACAACAAACAUUGGGUAUUUACUUACACCUCAAUUCCAAACGUUUCAUUAACAAAAUCACCACAGACCAAUUGAACAACUAGUGAAUCAAUCUAACCUAAAUUGAUCAACAAGUGCUCACAAAUCUGGAUCCAAACAAAAUUUCAUUGGAAGCAUAAGAAAAGAUUUCAGAAGCAACAAAGAAAAUCCCACAUAGUUUCGAUAAAUGAACCAAAGAUGAGAUACAAACCUCUUUGAUAUAUGAAUUAAAUUCAGAAUCGCACAUAUGGAGGCGAGAGAGACGACUCGGAGGGAGAAGUAUUAAGCAACUAAACCAGUCAACUUUCUGGGCUAUCACGGUUCGAAGUGAGUGUGAUGUCGUGAAGUCGGAAUCGGAGGAGGUGGAGAAGAAUGGAGUGUGCGACAAAAAAAUUUCAAUGAGGCGAGAAAAAGAACAAAGGAGACGGAGAAGAAGAAAGAAAGAGGAGAAGUCUUCACCAAACAGAAAAAAGGAAAAGAUCUCUACCGUUGGAUUUACUCUAUCUAUGGUGGAGAAUUAACCAAAGUCCAAUCUUUGUCAUAAUGGACUAGCCAAUGAGAAACCUUCUCUAUUUUGGCUUUUGGUAAAUUGUGGUUUUAUAGUUUUGAUUAAUAUUUUUAAGUCUAUAAGUAUAAAGUAAGUUUUAGAAUUUCUAAUAUAGGGUUUGAAUUUGUUUCAGAAAUUUUGAAUAAGAACUUUAUUUUUGAAUAUAUAUAUAUAUGUAUAACUGAAUUGUUGGUUUAAAGAAUAAAUAAAUAUUUUAUUAGAGAGAGAUUUUAGUAAAUAUUUUUGAUCUAAUAAAUAUUUUCCCAAUUUUGCGAUUUUCUUCUGAUUUAAUUAUAAAAUUUACUUUAAAAUUUUGUUAUUUAUUCAAAUGGCGAAUGUUUGAUUAUAGGGCGGAUUGGUUGUGACUUUGAAGGCUUUAAAAAAAUUUUAAAGUCUUAACAGCUGUAUUUUUACCAAUCAAGAAUUUUUUACUUUUAUUUUUUUAAAGCCAUUAAAGCCACUCUAUUUUUUUCCUUCUUUAUUUUCUCUUUAUUUUUAAAGUCUCAAUAUCACGGCUGUAGAAACUUUAAAACAAAUAAGUUUUAAAAAUUAUUUUUUACUUCUCCCUAUAAUAAUUAGAAACUCUCUAUAGAUUUAUAUAUAUUUUUUCAAACUUUUUUUUUGUAAAUUAAUUAUCAGCAUUUUUUUUUCCUUUCUUUUUCCAUCCACUUUUAUUUAUAAAUUUAAUAUUUUCAAUAUCACAAUUGUAUUUUCUUAUAUUAUAAAUAUUAAUAAACUUUAUUUAUUUGUCACUAUGUUACAUAUGGAUAAAUAUUGAUCAUCAUAUAUUUAUAAAAAUUAUAUAUAAUAGCAAAAAAAAAUCAACUUUUAACCGUUAAAAUGUCUACAACCAAAGUUUCUACAGCAAAAGUCUCUACAGCGAAAGUCUUUACAGUAAGUACAUAAUUAUUCGGGGGGGUAAUAUUUAGCGGUUAAACACUUAGUCAACAUCUGUAAAAAUUAUCGAAAUUUAAAAGCAGUCUCAAAUAAGUCGCAAAAUAUGUAGCAAAAAAGUAGCAAAUAUGUAGCAACUUAGUCGCAAAUAUUUUAUAGACGAAUUUGUGACUGUUUAGCCACUCUCGAGUUUAGUUAAAUCGAAAUUAGAGUAAUGAGAUUUCUUAAAAAGAUUAGUUAUAAGUUUAUACAUUGAUUUUAUCAACAUUAGCUCUAAAAACUAAUUAAGACCCUGCAUUGUAGGUGUUUUUCUAACCAAGCUUUCAUUAGUAACAAAUCUAAUAAAGGGUUAACAUGUUGUUUUAGGGUAAUGAUGAGGGUUUUAGCUAAAUCCUUAAAACUAGUGAUAGAAACUUAAUUUUUGCAAGUAAUAGUAAUAUAUGUACUCUAUGCUACCUAUUUGAAUGUUUAUGAGUUAUACAUUACAAUAUUGAUCUAAAUCAUGUAUAAUUCAAGUUUUGUUUUGUGACUAAUGAAUGUCUGUCACAAAACAGUCACAAUGUGCGACUCUUUUGUAAUGUUUUUGCGACGCCUAUCUUGUGCCUUUUUGCGACUAUUUUGGGACUUAUUUCCGACGCACUAAUGAAAGUUUUCUCAUUUGCAGCGACUGUGACUGCGAAAGCACAAAAACACAGUGAUGGCAGCUAAAGACAGAAAAGAACGACAGUGACGUGUUGAUGGAGGUAUUGCAGGAGAAAGAAAAGAAUGUGUGUUUACGUAAAACAUAUCGUCGUUGGAAUUUUGAGCAAGAGUUAGAGUGACUCUUUUAAUGACAACGGCGACAGAUUUUAAGAUGAUCGGCGACUAUUUUUAAUGCUUAGAACAACGACACGGUUUAUUUUGUAUUUGCAGAUCAUGAUCGCUGCAACCACGUAACGAACAGAUCCGUAGUAGCAAACUUGAAGCAAAGUAGUCGCAAAAGAGUUACAGACUGUUUUGUGACGAAUUAGCCACUCUCGUAUUUAGUUAACUCGAAAUUAGAGUAAUGAGAAAUGUUAAAAUGGUUAGUUAUUCGUUUAUACAUUGAUUUCAUGGACAUUAGCUCUAAAAACUAAGUAAGAGUGGCAUAGUGAGUGUUUUUCUAACCAAGCUUUCAUUAGUAACAAAUAUGAUGAAAGGGUUACAUGAUGUUUUAGGGUAAUGAUGAGGUUUUAGCAAAAUCCUUUAAAAAAAUGAUAUAAACUUAAUUUUUGCAAGCAGUAGUAAUAUAUGUACUCUAUGCUACCUAUUUGAUUAUUUAUGAGUGAUAUAUUAGAACAGAAUUGAUCCAAAUCGUGUAUAAUUCAAGUUUUGUUUUGUGACUAAUAAAGGUUUGUCACAACAGAGUCACAUUUUGCGACUCUAUUGUCAUUUAUAUGCGACGACUAUCUUGUUUUGUUUGCACUCUGUUACAGACCACUUUCCGACGAUGUUAGGACGCAUUUGUGACUUGUUUUGCGACUAUUUUGUCUCUUCGUAUUAUUGAAACAGAAUAUUACAUACGUACGACUUGAACCGCUAACAUAUUUGUAGUAUUUAUCAUAUGGAACCAAAUUGCCAAUGUUAUGCAUAUAAGAAGAUAAACAGAAUUAGAUAUUGGUAAAUUAAACAAAAUCNNNNNNNNNNNNNNNNNNNNNNNNNNNNNNNNNNNNNNNNNNNNNNNNNNNNNNNNNNNNNNNNNNNNNNNNNNNNNNNNNNNNNNNNNNNNNNNNNNNNCAAUCCUUAAAAAUUAUUUUACAUAGAAAUUACUCAUCUUCACCGACUAAUUUGUGACUAUACCAAAUAGCGUCGCAAUAGUUAGCUGUACCGAACUUUCACAUUUCAACGUUUGUAACGACAUUUUACUACCUCUUUCCCACUAAUCUGUGAAAACUAGACGAAGUUACAACGCCGUCGCUUUUUUGUGAAUUAUUUGCGACUCCUUCUGCUGACUAUUAAAAGCGUCACAAAUUAGUCUCUCAUAGCGACCCUUUCCUGACUACUUUUUCUUAGUCGCAUAAUAGUUGCCUAACAGAAGCAAAUAUGAGACGUUUUUGAGACUAUAAAUGUUCGUCGUUACUUACCGACGGUUUUCCAUCUCGAUGUGAUAUAGUUGCUUAUUUGGCCUAAAAUGGUCGCUAUAGCGUCGCUCUUUUUUGCGACCGAAAAAAGAGUCACAACAAGUAGUCCCAAAACGCAGGUUUUCAUUUAGUGGUUCAACGCAAUGUUUCUGAGUUCUUAGCCUAUUUGGGACCAAAUUUCAACAAGUCUUUCUCCACACUUCUAAACACUUUUCAUGCAUCUCUAGCACUUGUAAUCAAUCAUAUUUAUUGUAUUCUAAUAUGUACUAACCCUAAACAACACUAGACAAACCAUUAACAGCUCAAAAGACAUGUUUAUGGAUUCUUAGCCCAUUUGGGACCAAAUUUCAACAAGUCUUUUUACACACUUCUAAACACUCUUCAUACAUAUCUAUCACCUGUAAUCAAUUGAAUUUAUUGUAUUCUAACAUAUUCUAACCCCAAACAACACUACACAAGCCAUUUAAUGCUUCAAAGUAAUGGUUGUGGGUUCUUAGCCCAUUUGNNNNNNNNNNNNNNNNNNNNNNNNNNNNNNNNNNNNNNNNNNNNNNNNNNNNNNNNNNNNNNNNNNNNNNNNNNNNNNNNNNNNNNNNNNNNNNNNNNNNAUUUAUUAUAUUCUAACAUAUUCUAACCCCAAACAACACUAGAUAAGUCAUUUAGUGGUUCAACGCAAUGUUUCCGAGUUCUUAGCCCAUUUGGGACCCAAUUUCAACAAGUCUAUCUCCACACUUCUUAACACUUUUCAUGCAUCUCUAGCACUUGUAAUCAAUCAAAUCUAUUGUAUUCUAACAUAUUCUAACCCCAAACAACACUAGACAAACCAUUUACAGCUCAAAAGACAUGUUUAUGGAUUCUUAGCCCAUUUGGGACCAAAUUUCAACAAGUCUUUUUACACACUUCUAAACACUUUUCAUGCAUCUUUAACUCUUGUUAUCAAUCAAAUUUAUUGUAUUCUAACAUAUUCUAACCCCAAACAACACUAGAUAAGUCAUUUAGUGGUUCAACGCAAAGUUUCCGAGU
rnacentral:lncRNA from 1 species